GCUCAGAUGGGAUGGCUGUGUUCCCAGGGAAAUAAGCCUAUCUGCAUUAGCCAGCACUCGGAUCCAGGAGGCAUUGUAAAAGGAUCAGCAUCAACCUAUGAGAGUCAACAGAGAGACUUCAGUGGACUAAUUAGCCAACUGGAAGAUGCCUAUGUCCCUUACUGAUGACAGAGCAUGUGCAGCAUGAUCAGACCCUGAAAUAGUGUUGAUAUAAAGGAGUAGAACAGUUUGA